GUGAACGCUGGCGGUAGGCCUAACCCAUGCCAGUCGAACGGCAGCACAGUAAGAGCUUGCUCUUACGGGUGGCGAGUGGCGGACGGGUGAGGAAUACAUCGGAAUCUACUUUUUCGUGGGGGAUAACGUAGGGAAACUUACGCUAAUACCGCAUACGACCUACGGGUGAAAGCAGGGGAUCUUCGGACCUUGCGCGAUCGAAUGAGCCGAUGUCGGAUUAGCUAGUUGGCGGGGUAAAGGCCCACCAAGGCGACGAUCCGUAGCUGGUCUGAGAGGAUGAUCAGCCACACUGGAACUGAGACACGGUCCAGACUCCUACGGGAGGCAGCAGUGGGGAAUAUUGGACAAUGGGCGCAAGCCUGAUCCAGCCAUACCGCGUGGGUGAAGAAGGCCUUCGGGUUGUAAAGCCCUUUUGUUGGGAAAGAAAAGCAGCAGGUUAAUACCCCGCUGUUCUGACGGUACCCAAAGAAUAAGCACCGGCUAACUUCGUG
rnacentral:rRNA from 1 species